rnacentral:rRNA from 1 species
GACGAACGCUGGCGGCGUGCUUAACACAUGCAAGUCGAACGGAAAGGCCCUGCUUUUGUGGGGUGCUCGAGUGGCGAACGGGUGAGUAACACGUGAGUAACCUGCCCUUGACUUUGGGAUAACUUCAGGAAACUGGGGCUAAUACCGGAUAGGAGCUCCUGCUGCAUGGUGGGGGUUGGAAAGUUUCGGCGGUUGGGGAUGGACUCGCGGCUUAUCAGCUUGUUGGUGGGGUAGUGGCUUACCAAGGCUUUGACGGGUAGCCGGCCUGGGAGGGUGACCGGCCACAUUGGGACGGAGACCCGGCCCAGCCGCCACGGGGAGGAAGGGGGGGGAAAUAUGGCACAGUGGGGGGAACCCGGAGGCAGCACCGCGGGGUGGGGAAUGGCGGCCUGCGGUUUGAAACCCGCUUCCCCUGGAGAGGAAGCGGGGGGGGCGGGAAUGUAUAAAAAAGCCCCGCCCAACCACGCG